CUGGUCCAUCAAAUAUUAAAAGUGGUACAUAUUGACCACCGUGGCCGUGACGCUGUCGUCGUCGGCGGAUCUCAUCGCGGCCUCCGCCUCUUCGAGAGGCAACUCCGCAUCCCCGGCCAUGGCAGCAGCAGCAGGGCGUCCGCGCCGCAGUCCAUACCUCGCGAGUUGCGGAGUACUCGAAGCCCUUUUCCCUCCUCCCUACAACACAUUCCUAGCAGCACGGCUCACUGGCUCAGCGGCGCGAGAGGCAGGACACAGACCGAGCUCACUGCUGCCAUCCCAUCCCCUCCCUCCACGGCGCUCGUGGAUGCAAAUGAACAGUCGAAACGAACAGCCGAAACAGAGAGGGAAGAAAAGGCCCUGGGCCGUGUCAGAAAACCUAACCUGACCCGGUGCAGCACGGGCCGUUCCGGCCCACGGAGCAACCGCUGCGUGGGCCCGAACAACCUAGUAAUUUCCAGAGAGAUCCGUCCCUAUCCCCAACCUUCCUACCACCACCACGUGGUGUGA
rnacentral:misc_RNA from 1 species